ensembl:ncRNA lncRNA:CR44473 long non-coding RNA:CR44473
UGAAUUACCCACAAAAUUUCACUACGUCGGCCGGUCCAUGCAAAUUGCGAAUUGCAAAUCACAAAUAAAUUUUGCUUCGAGAAAUUUGCACUCAGUCGAUCAAGCGGUCGCUGUCGCUAUAAAGUGCAGCCUCACCCAUCCAACAGCCAACAGAUAUCCAACCAGAUACAUAGAUACAGAUACAAGUGCACAAUAUAAAUGCGUUUGCCAAGAAAUCCACGAAAAAGAAAACCCAAAAUGCAAAAAAAAAAAACUUAAAUCAGAGAGGGGAAAAGGAAAACGAUGUGUCGCCGUCAUGAAGAUGAAGAUGAAGAAAUUGCCGCUGGGUUGAGUCGCAAUCGCAAUGAACUGCAGAAUCUCAGAUAAAGAAUCGAGGUAGUAAAAAUAGAUAGAAAUAUAGCCCGAUUCAGGCAGACAUACCAUCAAAAGGAGAAUGACAAUCCGGGAGACAAACAAUUGAAGUACGAGUAUGCACUAGGCGUUUGCCACUGUCCUCACAAGGAUUGCUCAAAUUGAAAUUAGCAAAGCUUUAUUUGUGCAAAACAAGAGCUACAAAUUGAUAAAUCGGAAAUAAAACGGAGACUAAGAGGAGACCAUUAAU